GUGUGCAUACAUGCAUUGCUAGGUAAGGAGGAUCUGCAUACAUGCAGUGCUAGGUAAGGAGGGUCUGCAUACAUGCAGUGCACACUGCAUCAUAUUCAUAGAGAUGCAUUUUCUAUUUUAUUGCAUUUUAUCAUCUGGUCCAAAGCUAAGUUGUUUAGCUUUGAGAAGAAGAGUUGCAGAUAUUGUCAUAUUUCAUACAAUAUUGUAUGGUCAUAAGGUUUAAUGGAACAUUGUGGAGAGGAUGGCGUUCACUACACAUGGUGUCAAAGAACCUGUCCAUUGCAAAAAUAUAUUAUUAUUCGUUCUGAAUCCCCUGUUACAAUGGCUGGUUAGCAUUGCUCCCCAGCAAAUCAUGCUGGUUGUAAGUUCUGUUGUAAGUUGACAAUAUCAAUCACUUGAUUGUCUAAUUCAGUUUACAGGGUGCUGUCAUAUAGCUGGAAUAUUGCUGAGUAAACAGCAAACAUGCAAACAUCCUGAAAAUACGCCCUGCAGAAAAGAAUUCUUAAUGACAAACAGAAAUAUGUUUGCAAUAUAUGAAACAAACAAUCUUCACUUCAAUACAGUAAAACCAAUCCUGAUUCCAUGAUGGAACAUCAAAGACCAUGUCUCGCUUAGCCUCACAAUUUUCUCAAUAUUUCACACAUCAGAAAGUAGACUUGUAGCUGAAUGUUGUCAAAUGUGAUACAGCUUUGAACUGCAGCUAAAUACAAUAUAGCAGUUUAGUACUUGCCAUUGAUGCAACGUGAGCAAUGUCUAUAAGUGUAAAUAUCUCACUUCCAUGAAAUGGAAUGGAUUUGUGUCAUGUAUGUUAUUUGGGUGUUAUAAAUGUGUUUCUGGCUCGGAAGUAAAAAGAGACUGGUUUAUGUGGAUGAAAAGACAUGCUGUUCAAGAUGUCAUUUAACUGAUAAGAUGUACAUCUAAUGCCUGUAGAUUUUCAUGUUUUUAAAUAUAUGACACUACAUUGACAUGAUCAGUAGGGUUAUUUUGGGCUUCUCACUCACCAGGAAACUUUAAAAAGCAACUGCAGACAAUAAAAAAUUAUCUAUACUUAGCAUGCUUCAUAGCAUACUCAAGAAGAAAUAUGAGAUCAAUAAACUAUGUCAGAAGGCUUUGUCAGUGAUCCAGAUUGACACAUGUCAUCGUUUCCCAAUUGUGCAGAUCGAUGCUCAUGCUGUUGAUCCCUGGAUUGUCUGGUCCAGACUUGAUUAUUUAUAGACCGAUGUCAUAUAGCUGUAAUAUUGCAGAGCAUGGUGUAAAACUAAAUUCAAUCAAUCUAUGACUUUGCUAAGUGUUUGGUUCUUUCUUUCAGAGCAGUAACAUGCAUCCUUUCAUCCAUCAGUCCAAAUGAUCCAUGAUUCUUUCCAGGCUCUAAAGAAAUUAUCAAAAUGUACAGUUCUCAACACUGUAACUUCACAGGACCCUCACAUAGGCUGCUAGGACCCCUAAAACUAAUAAUUGGGUUCCCGACCCCAUGUUUGUGAGUC